GGGCCCGUAGCUCAGCCUGGUAGAGCAUCGCCCUUGCAAGGCGGGGGCCUCGGGUUCGAAUACGGGUUACGCAAGUGCUCGUUGGAAAGUCCCGACGGGUCCA
rnacentral:tRNA from 1 species